UGGAAAUUGCACCAAGAACACAGUUCAUGGAGGAUGGGCGGCAUCCUAGGGGGGUGGCUAUACAGACUGUAGAGCAAUGAUGCACUCCCAUUGGAUUACUCCCUUCUUGAUGGAGAGGUGCUAUACACUAAAAGGCAUGGCGAUCGGCUCUUAUUGGUGGACAGGUGCAGAAACCAGAGGCAGCGGCCAUUGUCUUCCUCUGAGCUCUCCUCUUCUCGGUGAAGCAGCGGCAUGAACUGAAAGCCCGUAGUGAUUGACUCCAGCUAGGUCCUUCUAUCAUUGAUGGAGAGGUGAUACGAACUGAGAAUCCUCGGCGAUGCACUCUACUUUGGCUCCAAAGGCAGGGAGAUGGACUCCUGCUGGUUUCUCCAU
rnacentral:lncRNA from 1 species